rfam:Erythrobacter litoralis strain DSM 8509 contig22, whole genome shotgun sequence.
ACUCAUAUGGGACUACCCCCUGAAUUUAAGCAUAUUAAUGAGGGGAGGAAAAGAAACUAACAAGGAUUUUCUUAGUAGCGGCGAGCGAAAAGAAAAUAGUUCAGCACUAAGUCACUUUGUCUAUAUGGCAAAUGUGAGAUGCAGUGUAUGGAAUAUCUUAAUAUCUAGUAUGAGAAAUUAACGAUUUAAGUCCUUCUUAAAUGAGGCCAUUUACCCAUAGAGGGUGCCAGGCCCGUAUAACGUUAAUGAUUACUAGAAAGAUAUUUCCAAAGAGUCGUGUUGCUUGAUAGUGCAGCACUAAGUGGGUGGUAAACUCCAUCUAAAACUAAAUAUAACCAUGAGACCGAUAGUAAACAAGUACCGUGAGGGAAAGUUGAAAAGAACUCUGAAUAGAGAGUUAAAUAGUACGUGAAACUGCUUAGAGGUUAAGCCCGAUGAACCUGAAUAUCCAUUAUGAAAAAUUCAUCAUUAUAACUGUGGUAUUUAAUUUUAAAUAUUAUAGUAAUAGUGUGCAUUUUUUUCAUAUAAGGAC